GGCCCGUUGGUCAAGUGGUUAAGACACCGCCCUCUCAAGGCGGGAUCGGUGGGUUCAAAUCCCCCACGGGUCA
rnacentral:tRNA from 1 species